GCGAGUGGCCCAGUAUGGGGAUGAUUUACCCAUGGAGGUACGCCGGGUGAUCUGGAACCAGGUCACGGCCGAGCGAAACACAAGGCUGGCCCGAGAAUUCCGGCUGGCGAAAGAGAGAGAGUAUGCUCAGCGGAAGGAGUGUUACAGCAGCCGAGUAGAGGCUGCAUCUGAGGAGGCUAGCCGUCUCCUCCUGAGGCGGCCGCAGGAACCCGAAGUAGGGGUCCUCAUAGACUGGUCCUGUGAGGAACCACAACAGGCAGGGGGAGAUGGGACCGAGGUCUCUCCACCGGGUCCGCCGGGAUGCUGGGCAGCCGGCCCAGAUCCCCAUCAGCAGCCGGAGUUGCCAGGUGCGGAAGCAGGUGGUCCUUACUCGCAAAUGUUGAGGGACCUCACAGACUGGUCCUGGGAAGACCCACAGAUGGCAGGUGGAGAUGGGACCGCGGUCUCUCUACCGGCCCUACAGGGAUGCUGGGCGGUUGGCCCAGAUCUCCAGCGGCAGUAUGUAUCACAGGGAGCUGAAGGUGCUGUCCUUCCUCCCCAGCGGCAGUGUGAGUUCCAGGGAGCCGAAGGUGCUGUCCUUCCUCCCCAGCGGCAGAGUGUGUCCUUAGGAGAGGAGACAGUUGGUCCCUCUCCCCAGCAGUCCAGUAAGUCACAAGGAGCCGAAGGUGCCGUCCUUCCUCCCCAGCGGCAGUGUGUCCUGCAGGGAGCAGAGACAGUUGGUCUCGCUUCCCAGCAGCGGGACAAUAUAUUGAAAGGGGAGACAGUCGGUCCCCCUCUCCACCAGCAGAGAGAGUGUCAGGGAGAGGAGCCUGUUACCCCCUCUCCCCAGCGGCAGCAUAGCCCACCAAGGGGAGAUGAUAAGCCCCAC